rnacentral:rRNA from 1 species
UACGAAGGGUGCAAACGUUGCUCGGAAUUAUUGGGCGUAAAGCGCAACGUAGGCGGCUAUCUAAGUCGGGAUGUGAAAUCCCUCGGCUUAACCAAGGAAGUGCACCGAAACUGGAUAGCUUGAGUACAGAAGAGGAUCGCGGAAUUCCCGGUGUAGAGGUGAAAUUCGUAGAUAUCGGGAGGAACACCAGUGGCGAAGGCGGCGAUCGUGGGCUGAUACUGACGCUGGAGGUGCGAAAGCGUGGGGAGCAAACAGG